rnacentral:rRNA from 1 species
CUACGGGGCGCUGCAGUGAGGAAUUUUGCGCAAUGGGGGGAACCCUGACGCAGCAACGCCGUGUGAGUGAAGAAGGCCUUUGGGUCGUAAAGCUCUGUCAACUGGGAAGAAGUUACUAUGCUUAAAUAGAGUGUAGUAUUGACGGUACCAGUGGAGGAAGCGUCGGCUAACUCCGUGCCAGCAGCCGCGGUAACACGGGGGACGCAAGCGUUAUUCGGAAUUAUUGGGCGUGAAGGGCGCGUAGGCGGUCUUGUCGGUCAGGUGUGAAAGCCCGGGGCUCAACCCCGGACGUGCACUUGAAACAGCAAGACUUGAGUACGGGAGAGGAAAGCGGAAUUCCUGGUGUAGAGGUGAAAUUCGUAGAUAUCAGGAGGAACACCGAUGGCGAAGGCAGCUUUCUGGACCGAAACUGACGCUGAGGCGCGAAGGCGUGGGUAGCGAACGGGAUUAGAUACCCGAGUAGUC